AAGACUAUACUUUCAGGGAUCAUUUCUAUAGUUUGUUACCUUAUUUUAUUUGUUUCACAUGAGAUGUACUCACCACUAAUUCAAACCCCUGUCUCUCCUAUCUGAACAAGAAAUUAGCACCUUUCUUUAGAAUGGGUGAUUUCUCAGGCUUGGAAUUUCUGGCAAAAUACCUAGAUAGUAGGAAAGUCUCUUCUAA
rnacentral:snoRNA from 1 species